UUUUCACGACUUACGGCCGAAAAGCAAAGAACAGCCCUGCCAACCGAGAACGAGUGGAAGGUGGAGCUAUGGAGAAUAUAUUUGCAUAAUUAAGCGUCCGCUCAACAAUUUUGCUUCUGAUUUCGUUUUCCACGGCAGAAACGGGAGAAAGCUCACAAACUCCUACCAGGAGUUUUGAGGAAAUCAGAGGUAAUUCACGGACUCUCUGCCUAUGCCAACACUCCAACCCAAGAGCGCGCACACCAAGUUCCCAGCAUGCAUCCUGUGAAGAGCGUAAAAUGUUCCACUGGAGGGUUAGAAAGAAUACUGUUUUCAUCACUGGUUCCCGCUUGAGGGUUUGCUUUCUGCGGGCCUUUCACAGAGCAACUCUCUACUAAGAUAUCAUGCUAGACCUGCCCCAGCAUCCUCCAUUCUGCACCAGAAAAGGCCAGACAAUUGCAUCUUCAGGAUCAACAGGACCAUCUACUGCCAAUAGCCUCCUUCACCCUGCCACAGAAAUAUCCGAUGCUGUAAGAGGGCCAGCAUUCUCUCCACAGUUACUAUGGCUCUUCUACGAACCUUACAUAAGCAGGAUCCUGUAUCUACUGGGUCCCAAAGAACCUCACAUUUCUACUCUGAAAAACUAGAACUGUGUUUAGAGGGUAUACGCUUGCACCCUGCAGGAACUUUGGUUCCAGCAGUCCCAGAUCAGUUUAUCUCCAUCUUUUCCCAUCUCCUAAAAGGCUUUCCCUGGGGCUCUAGGACUGAAUCAAUGAACUUGGGACUUUAUGGGGCCUAUAAGGAGUCAGCUUCAAGAGUAGAUGUUCAGCCUCUGUUGUGUAAUAGUUUCCUCUGAGAUUCAAAGAUUUCAUUCUGCAGGAAGCUCCUUAAGCAGGAGGGUAAACUCAAAUAGCUUCAGGAAGUCCCUGAAGUGGACCAGAUUCACCAGGCUCCUCUCUGUCAGAGGAAACAACAAAAGCUGAGAAUCUGAACUCAGAUGUGAAAAAGCUAUAAAGAAGACCCUUAAAACCAGAUUCAGUCACUUGAAAAGGACACUCUCAAUCUGCUGACCUGCUUGCUUUCUGUGUAGUAUGUUCCAGGUUCCCAGCUUUUGUGAGCAAUCGCCCACAUUGGGAUGGGCUUUGGUGAUAGAACUCUCUCGGAGUCAUUUCUGCCCCUGUGAGUAGUAACCCCUCAGCCAUACUCCUGUAAGUAAUCCCAAUAAAACUCAUUGGUUCACCCAGGUUGAA